CUAAAUAAUUUCAAAAUAAAUUAACAUUGUAGGUACUGCAGUUGGUGUAGAAGAAUGUCUUUGCAUACAUCGUUUACCAGUUAAAUUAUAAUCUGGCCUUCUGGGAAAAGUUGUUAACUACUAAAUGAAGACUCUGCGCUAAAUGAUCAUCAGAAAGUGUUGUUCGUCAGCUCGGUAUUCAGCUUUUAAGACUUUCAUGUAAGAAAAUGUUAUGUCACACAAACAGAUUAAGCCGAAUAUAUGUCAUUUUUGUUAUCUUUUCUCUGCGGACUGCCACACACAUGGUUACAAUAUGAUAUCAUUUUAUGUAUAGUUAUAAUAAUAUACAUAGAUAGUUUUUACAAUUUUAUUAUCAACAUCGAACCCUGCACAUUGCACCAGCAGCUAUUAUUAUUGUGCAAACGACCAUCGAGAAUUAUACACGAGCACGAUGUAGCGGGUCAGUGAAAAAAAGAAGCGUACAUUUGCCGUAGUUGCCGUUUCGACCAAAUGUAUUAUAAUAUUAUUAUUAUACGUGAUACGUCGCAUGCCGAUUCGAAACGCGGGACUUAACGGUUAUUGCUGAACGCACGACACAUUUUGCGCGUGGAGUAUAAAUUACGAUACGAGAUAAAAAAGACGAGCCACGCAUGUAUGUGCACAGGUAUAAUACGCGUGAAGGUCCACCGACGUUUGAAACCUGUGGAGUAACACGGCUAACGGUCAAACACCUACUAAAGGAAUGUAUUUAGACGAUUCGAAAGGUCCGCUGCAGGUCAUCCCACAAGGAAAUCGUGUUGGUUCAUAAUACAUUAUACCAUAGCUACGACUGAGCACAGAUCGUGUUUGGCGAAUCGCCCUCGAAAAUACCACCGUGGCCGUACUUUAAAUACGAAGGCGCGAACAAUCGCUCUCUGGAGCUGGAUGUUUACAAAAUUUCAAGAUUCGAGAGACAUCCGAUGACGUCGCUUGUUAUUGUCCAGAAUAUGGGGGGGGAGGGGUGACGGGGUUGGUCAGCUGUUAUACAUUAUAUUGUACGGUUUUUCCGCCUGAGAAGACAUUAACCACAGGGGUCAACACGGUAUGCGGUAAUAAUAUAAAAUAGGUCGGUAUAUUAUGUGGAGACGAGUCGACCGAAAACUCUUUAUAUUACUCGCUGCGUAUACCGGUGAAAAUGUGCAGCUGAAAAUCGUUAAUAACAGAGCGUUACGAUUUCCGACGAUGACCUGCGCAGUGCACGACACCUGCACCCGUCAACGCAAAACGUUCACCGAACUGCACCAAGUACGCAGACGACGAACCACAUGGCGUGGAAAAAAAAGUCAAUGACAAGUCUGUAGUUGUUCUCGGCGAAUCACAAUUCAGCAAAAAACAAAUGGUUUGGGGUGAUAAUUAUAUUUUAUGUUAUAGGUAUUGUUGGUAAUAAUUCAUACAAUAUUAUUAUUACAAUAGUUUCCGGCCAAAAUAAAUCAGACCGAGAAAACAUUAAAUAAUGCUUUACACAUAUUAUAUAUUAUGUUACGGUUACUACGACAAACAAAUGGUAAUCAUUGAUAUGCUAUUGUGUAUACAUAUUGACACGUACCUGUUAAAGAGUGCAGUAGUCGCCAGUCGGUAACAAUCCCGUCUGAUGAAAAUCCGUCUGCUUUUAUCAGUGUUUUGCGGUGUGAGCCGGAUCAUUGUCAGCCAUAGUUGAAAUCGUUUUGUUUAAAAUAUUUUUUUAUCUCAUGUAUGUGUUAUAGUUUACUCUAGUGAUCAGAGAAAUAUUUGGAAAACUCAAAAAACUAUAUGAUAGGUAUAUCCUAUUGGUUUCCAGAAAAUAUUGUUUUAGGUGCGCCCUAUUAUAGGAGUGAAAAAGCUUCGACAGAUUACAUCGAUACAUUUAAUAAUAAAUAAAUAUUAGCCCAAUAGCAUACUAGUCACUUGUUCCUGAAAAUAAAAACUAAAAAGCAUUUGCUAGUUUUUUUUUUCUAUCCCGCGAAAAUCGCAGUCGUCGUCCGUGUUCUCACGAUGAUAUUAUACCGCACACAACCAAUAUUGUGAUUGAUCGGUUUUUAUUGUUUCGUAACAACAGGAAGUGUUUAUAAUUAAAACGUAUACUAGCUUUUGAGUUAUAACUAUAGUUCUGUAAAAUUUUGUACCUUUUUUUUCACGAUGAGACAAAUAAUUUCAAAAAAACUUCUGAAAAUUGAAUUUUCAUUCCAAUUUGCAGUUUAUUAUGGUCUGCGCUCGCGCCGCAUUUAGCUAUUUAAUAAUACGUGUAAUGUCUAUAACCCCGUAGGUUAUAUAUAUUUAUUUAAUAUAUACGCACGUCGUCCGCUCAAGUGUUAUAUAUUGUACAUGUAUUUAGAAGUAGGUAUAGGUUACCAAAACAAUGGUAUCCACGGUAAUACGCGAUAUAUGCUGCGCGUAUAUAAAUGUAACACGAAUAUACCUAUAUAGUAUAAUAAGUGAUGUAUAUACAUAGGUAUAUAUACUCGUGUGUGUGUGUGAGUGUCGGUGUCAGCGUCGGUGCCAUUUCGGCGCACUUGUUAAUUAUGAUAUUAAACAAUGGACGUUUGCAUAUAUUGUUUAACCUGUUUCCACCGUCGUCCUAUACCGUCGGUAUAGAAAAAAAAUUGCUUUAAUAAUCGUAAACAUGAGGCGGCGUUACUUUUAUAAUAACGAUACAGGUAAUAUUAUUCGUGUACCACAUAUGUAAUAUAUUCUAUAUAUUAUAUUAUAAUGACAAAUAAUAAAAUACUCGGCAGGACCCAUUCACAGUCAAGGUAUACCAAGGUUGGCCACAUGAGCUUUCCAGGACGAGAGGGGGCUUCCACCACUGAUGCCAAAGUGAAAUGCUAAAAUAUGUAACCAAAAUUAAAAAUGUUAUGAACCACAUCAUCCUGCAGAAAUAUCCUGUUCGAUCCCUUACACGCCAACCUCUUAUUUAAGCGACGCACGAUAUUUGAAAACUUUAAAACAGUUAGUAAAAAUGUAGGGUUUCACAGAUCACACAAAAAAUAAAUAGAUAAUUCUCGAACGGCUCUGUUCACCUGUCGGGAUACCCGGAAAUGAGAAAACUUACUCUACAGACAGUAAGAAGCCAUCUUAUCUUUAGUUUCCACGAAAAUCAACACAACGAUAUCGUCUGCAAAAACACUCAAUAUAUUAGUAACUAUUAACGAUAUACAAUUAAUAUUAUCCAAUAUAAAAUUAUGGAAGGUAAGCAGUUGUAUUGGCUAAAUUUACCUCUCCCUGAUAAAACUUGGAAAUUUAAAAUUGAUUAUUACACAGUUGAAAUUGUCACUAGAGCAAGAAUAGACCAUAAACUCCAAACUCGGAUUAAACUAUAAGUAUAUUAUGUCAUUCAUGCAAUGUAUAAUACUAUAUAGCUAAAAACUAAUCAUGACUCAUAUAAGUACCGAUCAACUGCCCAUCGGAUUCAAUAUACGUAUGCAAACCCUCGAUGAGAAGAGAACUGCGCCCUAGAAAUCUGUUCAUUUUUACAUAACGUGCAGUUAGUCUAAGCCGAAAAUUCUAAACUUUCCGGACAUUUUGUUAUUAUAUUCUAUUUUAUAAGGAUGUAAUAGUAUUAUUCUGUGCUGUUAAUAGUUGAAGUGAACUAAAACCAUAAUGCAGUACGCAGUCGAAGCUUUUGUCGAGCAUACAAAAAAAUAUAUACCUAAUUGCAGCACAUAGGUAUAUAAUUAUUAUCUAUAUUCCUAGGUACUCUUAGACCUUAGUAGAUGAAAAACAUAGUGAAGUGUGGAACAUUCCCGAAAAUCGUGAUACAUCGAAUAACGCUUUUUUGUGUUUUGUAUAAAUACGUCACCGCGGCGGAAUCGUUAGAACAUAAUACUUCGUCUGGCACACUUGUGUGUGUGUGUGUGUGUGUGUGUGUGUGUGUGUGUGUGUGUGUGUGUGUGUGUGUGUGUGUGUGUGUGUGUGUGUGUUUGUUAUAACCACGAUGUGUGAAUGCGAGUGUUAAACAAUUGAUUCCGCGCGGGGUUGCAGUGCUGCGGUAUUGUAAUAUUUUAUAUGCGGCGGUGGCGGCGGCGGUAGUCUCGCGGUGACUUGCGCUCUCUCCCCGUCGUAUAAAUAUACAUAUAUUAUAUUAUUGUU